UGAGGAAUAUUGGUCAAUGGUCGGGAGACUGAACCAGCCAAGCCGCGUGAGGGAUGAAGGUACAGAGUAUCGUAAACCUCUUUUGUCAGGGAACAAAAGGCGCCACGCGUGGCGCUCCGAGUGUACCUGAAGAAAAGCAUCGGCUAACUCCGUGCCAGCAGCCGCGGUAAUACGGAGGAUGCGAGCGUUAUCCGGAUUUAUUGGGUUUAAAGGGUGCGUAGGCGGCGAGUUAAGUCAGCGGUAAAAGCCCGGGGUCUCAACCCCGGCCCGGCCCGUUCGAAACUGGCUUGCUUGAGUUGGAGAGAAGUAGGCGGAAUGCGCGGUGUAGCGGUGAAAUGCUUAGAUAUCGCGCAGAACUCCGAUUGCGAAGGCAGCCUACCGGCUCCAGACUGACGCUGAGGCACGAAAGCGUGGGUAUCGAACAGGAUUAGAUACC
rnacentral:rRNA from 1 species